rnacentral:lncRNA from 10 species
UAGCACAGAAGGCUCUUUCUUGUGGAUAUAUCACUCAAAAAACCCAGAAGUUGAUGACAGCAGUGCUCAGAAGGGCUGGUGGUUUCUGAGCUGGUUUAACAAUGGGAUCCACAAUUAUCAACAAGGGGAAGAAGACAUAGACAAAGAAAAAGGAAGAGAGGAGACCAAAGGAAGGAAAAUGACACAACAGAGCUUCGGCUAUGGGACUGGUUUAAUCCAAACUUGAAGGAAUCCGAAUAACUAAACUGGACUCUGGUUUUCUGACUCAGUCCUUCUAGAAGACCUGGACUGAGAGAUCAUGCGGUUAAGGAGUGUGUAACAGGCGGACCACCUGUUGGGACUGCGAGAUUCUCAAGGGGAAGGACUGGGUCUCAUUUCUCCCAUCUCAGCGCUUAGCAGGAUGACCUGGUAUAGAGCAGGGAACUGGGAAAUGUGGGUCAGGGGAUCAGACACUCCAGUUGGGUCUUUUAUAUAAAUUAAAUGGCAAAAGGCUCCAUACCCUUCUCCUUCUUUCCUACCCUCCACUUUAUCUGCAAAAUGGGAAUGAUGAUAACACCCACUUCAUAGAAUGGUCAUGAAGAUCAAAUGAGAGAAUAAAAGUCAAGCACUUAGCCUCUGGUGCACAAUAAGUAUUAAAUAAGUAUACCUAUUCCUCCUUUUCCUUUUUUAAAAAUAAUAUUACCAAAUGUCCAGCUUAUACACAUUUACAAGACUUAGCUAGUGGGCUAUGUUAGAGCUACUAAAAGAUCUUUGACAAGCUAAAACUAAGAUGCAAUGAAUGAGGUGUAACGAACAAGAGAGUUUUAAGUUCAGAAAUGGUUACAGAAGUAUAAGACAGCUGUGUGGGUGUUUUUUGGUUUUUGGUUUCUGGUUUACAAUCUCGUCAUUCAACAAAGAUGGGAGUUUUAUAGAACUAAAAGCACCAUGUAAGCUACUAAAAACAACAACAAAAAAGGCUCAUCAUUUCUCAGUCUGAAUUGACAAAAAUGCCAAUGCAAAUAAAAA